CUUCAGAAGAUGAUGAUAAAGACUAAAGAGCAACACUGUCGGGCAGAAGAUGAAUCUGUUCAAAUCAGUCCUCAGUCAAACUGACUUUAUGGAUUGACAAGACUCCAAUCCUAAUUUGACGGACUGUAAUUCUAUUCACCAACCACAAGGAAGCACUAGUGAUGUUUGCCAUGAGUUCGACAGUCAGUAUAAAUGAGUGCGAGACAUUUUUUGUAGCAUUUUGUUAGUAUUAUUAUUCUUAAAAAUGUGUCCUCUGUCUUUUCUUUAUAAUUCUAAAUUAUUGUUUCGUAUAAAACUAAUUUUAACAAGUUGUUAAUUAUUUAAUAGCAACUGUUUCAGGCAUAUGCUCUGAAUGUUUUAAUGUAACAAAGGCAACAGGCCUACUCCAUUUUGAUACUAAAGUAAAAACACGUUUGUGCUUAACCAUAUACUGACACCAUACAAGGAAUAUAACGCCCAAACGAAUUAUUUAUAAUAUUUUUAUUUAUUUUUAUGAUAAUAAUUUAUAAGUAUUCAAUGUUAAUUAUUUAUAAUUAAUUAAUCGUUAUAAUUAAUCUAAAAGAAUUAAUCAGAAAUCGGCGCGCUUUUCCCGACAGAACGUCACAGAAGUCUUACCGCGCUAUCAGAAUUCAAAAACUUUAACAGACAAACAACUUAACGGUCAAGUGGCUGUUUGCUUUCUUCGUAUAUAUAAAUAUGUUUAUGGCCUAGAUGUUUCAUGAAAUAGGACACAUUAAUCUUGUGAAAGUAAGUACGUGAAACGGAGAUGUUUUGGAUGAGAACUUGCCUCUGCGAAACUGAAGGUUUGAGCAGCUUCCUGUAGGUGGCGAUCUCGAUGUCCAUCGCCAACUUGACGUUCAUUAGCUCCUGGUACUCACGGAGUUGCCGAGCCAUGUCCUGCUUGGCUCUCUGAAGUGCCUCCUCCAAGUCCUUAAUACGACAUUUGGCCUCCUUCACAGUCAUCUCGCCACGAUCCUCAGCCUCCGCCAUCUGGUUCUCCAGUGUUUCGCAGUUCAUCGUUGUACUGACUGGCCUGAGAGGACAUCUGAUCAAACUGACCAAAACGAGAUGGAAAAAUAAAAAAGCUCAGUACGUCAGAUACAA